AGUGAACGCUGGCGGUAGGCCUAACACAUGCAAGUCGAACGGCAGCACAGGAGAGCUUGCUCUCUAGGUGGCGAGUGGCGGACGGGUGAGGAAUACAUCGGAAUCUGCCCAGUCGUGGGGGAUAACGUAGGGAAACUUACGCUAAUACCGCAUACGACCUUCGGGUGAAAGAGGGGGAUCGCAAGACCUCUCGCGAUUGGAUGAGCCGAUGUCGGAUUAGCUAGUUAGCGGGGUAAUGGCCCACCAAGGCGACGAUCCGUAGCUGGUCUGAGAGGAUGAUCAGCCACACUGGAACUGAGACACGGUCCAGACUCCUACGGGAGGCAGCAGUGGGAAUAUUGGACAAUGGGCGCAAGCCUGAUCCAGCCAUACCGCGUGGGUGAAGAAGGCCUUCGGGUUGUAAAGCCCUUUUGUUGGGAAAGAAAUCUUUCAGGCUAAUACCCUGGGAGGAUGACGGUACCCAAAGAAUAAGCACCGGCUAACUUCGUG
rnacentral:rRNA from 1 species